rnacentral:tRNA from 1 species
AAGCCCUGAGGUGUUAACACAUCGGACUGCAAACCCGAAGACGGCCCGUGCCCGGGGCUU